rnacentral:rRNA from 1 species
AGGGUUUGAUCCUGGCUCAGAACGAACGGUGGCGGUGUGCUUAUUACAUGCAAGUCGAGCGAUAACCAGGCAACUGGUGAAAGCGGCGUAAGGGUGAGUAAAGUAUAGAUAACCUGCCUUGCAAGGGGGGAUAACAUUUCGAAAGGAAUGCUAAUACCGCGUAAGUUCCAUGGUGCGCAUGCACGAAGGAAGAUAGUGGGGGCCCAGAAAUGGCCUCAUGAUGCAAGAGGGGUCUAUAUCCUAUUAGCUAGUUGGUGGGGUAAAAGCCUACCAAGGCGUAUGGGUAGCCGGCCUGAGAGGGUGAACGGCCACACGGGCACUGAGACACGGGCCCGACUCCUACGGGAGGCAGCAGUAAGGAAUAUUGGGCAAUGGGCGCAAGCCUGACCCAGCGACACCGCGUGAGCGAUGAAGGUUUUCGGAUUGUAAAGCUCUAACAAGUAUAAGGAAGUUAUCCUGGCUAAAACCCGGGAAUAAUUGACGAAGGUACUAGAUGAAGUCAUGGCUAACUCUGUGCCAGCAGCCGCGGUAAUACAGAGAUGGCGACCGUUGUUCGGAAUCACUGGGCUUAAAGGGCACGUAGGCGGAAGCAGAAGUUGUAUGUGAAAUGUCUCGGCUUACCCGAGGAUCAGCAUGCAAAACCAUGUUUCUAGAGUGAUGUAGGGGAGAGUGGAACUUCUGGUGGAGCGGUGAAAUGCGUUGAUAUCAGAAGGAACGCCGGAGGCGAAAGCGACUCUCUGGACAUUAACUGACGCUGAGGUGCGAAAGCCAGGGGAGCAAACGGGAUUAGAUACCCCGGUAGUCCUGGCCGUAAACGAUGAGUACUUGGUAGGGGAGAGAUUCCCUGCUGGAGCGAAAGUUUUAAGUACUCCGCCUGGGGAGUAUAGUCGCAAGGCUGAAACUCAAAGGAAUUGACGGGGGCUCGCACAAGCGGUGGAGUAUGUGGUUUAAUUCGAAGCAACGCGAAGAACCUUACCUGGAUUUGACAUCGCAGGAUUAGUAUGCUGAAAGGUAUAUGACGCCCUUCGGGGAGGAACUGUGACAGGUGUUGCAUGGCUGUCGUCAGCUCGUGCCGUGAGGUGUUGGGUUAAGUCCUAUAACGAGCGAAACCUUUGUCCUUAGUUACCAGCGGGUAAUGCCGGGGACUCUAGGGAGACUGCGUGCGUCAAGCACGAGGAAGGUGGAGACGACGUCAAGUCAUCAUGGCCUUUAUGUCCAGGGCUACACACGUACUACAAUGGCAGGUACAAAGGGAAGCGAGACCGUAAGGUGGAGCAAAUCCGAAAAAGCUUGCCUCAGUUCAGAUUGAGGGCUGCAAUUCGCCCUCAUGAAGCUGGAAUCGCUAGUAAUCGUGGGUCAGCUAUACCACGGUGAAUGUGUUCCCGAGCCUUGUACACACCGCCCGUCAAGCCACUGAAGCAGGGGUAGCCUGAAGUCAUCGACCCAACUCGUAAGAGAGGGAGGUGCCCAAGGAAGCUUCUGUGACAGGGACUAAGUCGUAACAAGGUA